UACGGGGGGAGCAAGCGUUGUUCGGAUUUACUGGGCGUAAAGAGCGCGCAGGCGGUCGUUCAAGUCGCGUGUGAAAGCCCCCGGCUCAACUGGGGAGGGUCACGCGAUACUGAUCGACUCGAAGGCAGGAGAGGGUAGUGGAAUUCCCGGUGUAGUGGUGAAAUGCGUAGAUAUCGGGAGGAACGCCAGUGGCGAAGGCGACUACCUGGCCUGUUCUUGACGCUGAGGCGCGAAAGCUAGGGGAGCAAACGGG
rnacentral:rRNA from 1 species